rnacentral:rRNA from 1 species
CAGUCGCCGCGGUAAUACGAAGGGGGCUAGCGCUGUUCGGAAUUACUGGGCGUAAAGCGCACGUAGGCGGAUAUUUAAGUCAGGGGUGAAAUCCCAGAGCUCAACUCUGGAACUGCCUUUGAUACUGGGUAUCUUGAGUAUGGAAGAGGUGAGUGGAAUUCCGAGUGUAGAGGUGAAAUUCGUAGAUAUUCGGAGGAACACCAGUGGCGAAGGCGGCUCACUGGUCCAUUACUGACGCUGAGGCGCGAAAGCGUGGGGAGCAAACAGGAUUAGAUACCCCCGUAGUCCCUGUCUCUUAUAA